GCUGGCGGCGUGCCUAAUACAUGCAAGUAGAACGCUGAAGGAAGGAGCUUGCUCUUUCCGGAUGAGUUGCGAACGGGUGAGUAACGCGUAGGUAACCUGCCUGGUAGCGGGGGAUAACUAUUGGAAACGAUAGCUAAUACCGCAUAACAGUAGAUAUCGCAUGAUAGCUGCUUAAAAGGUGCAAUUGCACCACUACCAGAUGGACCUGCGUUGUAUUAGCUAGUUGGUGAGGUAACGGCUCACCAAGGCCACGAUACAUAGCCGACCUGAGAGGGUGAUCGGCCACACUGGGACUGAGACACGGCCCAGACUCCUACGGGAGGCAGCAGUAGGGAAUCUUCGGCAAUGGACGGAAGUCUGACCGAGCAACGCCGCGUGAGUGAAGAAGGUUUUCGGAUCGUAAAGCUCUGUUGUAAGAGAAGAACGAGUGUGAGAGUGGAAAGUUCACACUGUGACGGUAUCUUACCAGAAAGGGACGGCUAACUACGUG
rnacentral:rRNA from 1 species